CGCGUAGGCGGUUUUGUCAGUCGGAUGUGAAAGCCCCGGGCUUAACCUGGGAAUUGCAUUCGAUACUGCAUGACUAGAGUAUGGUAGAGGGAAGUGGAAUUUCCGGUGUAGCGGUGAAAUGCGUAGAUAUCGGAAGGAACACCAGUGGCGAAGGCGACUUCCUGGGCCAAUACUGACGCUGAGGUGCGAAAGCGUGGGGAGCAAACA
rnacentral:rRNA from 1 species